GAUGAACGCUGGCGGCGUGCCUAAUACAUGCAAGUCGAGCGAACGGACGAGAAGCUUGCUUCUCUGAUGUUAGCGGCGGACGGGCGAGUAACACGUGGAUAACCUACCUAUAAGACUGGGAUAACUUCGGGAAACCGGAGCUAAUACCGAAUAAUAUUUUGAACCGCAUGGUUCAAAAGUGAAAGACGGUCUUGCUGUCACUUAUAGAUGGAUCCGCGCUGCAUUAGCUAGUUGGUAAGGUAACGGCUUACCAAGGCAACGAUGCAUAGCCGACCUGAGAGGGUGAUCGGCCACACCGGAACUGAGACACGGUCCAGACUCCUACGGGAGGCAGCAGUAGGGAAUCUUCCGCAAUGGGCGAAAGCCUGACGGAGCAACGCCGCGUGAGUGAUGACGGUCUUCGGAUCGUAAAACUCUGUUAUUAGGGAAGAACAUAUGUGUAAGUAACUGUGCACAUCUUGACGGUACCUAAUCAGAAAGCCACGGCUAACUACGUGCCAGCAGCCGCGGUAAUACGUAGGUGGCAAGCGUUAUCCGGAAUUAUUGGGCGUAAAGCGCGCGUAGGCGGUUUUUUAAGUCUGAUGUGAAAGCCCACGGCUCAACCGUGGAGGGUCAUUGGAAACUGGAAAACUUGAGUGCAGAAGAGGAAAGUGGAAUUCCAUGUGUAGCGGUGAAAUGCGCAGAGAUAUGGAGGAACACCAGUGGCGAAGGCGACUUUCUGGUCUGUAACUGACGCUGAUGUGCGAAAGCGUGGGGAUCAAACAGGAUUAGAUACCCUGGUAGUCCACGCCGUAAACGAUGAGUGCUAAGUGUUAGGGGGUUUCCGCCCCUUAGUGCUGCAGCUAACGCAUUAAGCACUCCGCCUGGGGAGUACGACCGCAAGGUUGAAACUCAAAGGAAUUGACGGGGACCCGCACAAGCGGUGGAGCAUGUGGUUUAAUUCGAAGCAACGCGAAGAACCUUACCAAAUCUUGACAUCCUUUGACAACUCUAGAGAUAGAGCCUUCCCCUUCGGGGGACAAAGUGACAGGUGGUGCAUGGUUGUCGUCAGCUCGUGUCGUGAGAUGUUGGGUUAAGUCCCGCAACGAGCGCAACCCUUAAGCUUAGUUGCCAUCAUUAAGUUGGGCACUCUAAGUUGACUGCCGGUGACAAACCGGAGGGAGGUGGGGAUGACGUCAAAUCAUCAUGCCCCUUAUGAUUUGGGCUACACACGUGCUACAAUGGACAAUACAAAGGGCAGCGAAACCGCGAGGUCAAGCAAAUCCCAUAAAGUUGUUCUCAGUUCGGAUUGUAGUCUGCAACUCGACUACAUGAAGCUGGAAUCGCUAGUAAUCGUAGAUCAGCAUGCUACGGUGAAUACGUUCCCGGGUCU
rnacentral:rRNA from 1 species